AAAUUGAAGAGUUUGAUCAUGGCUCAGAUUGAACGCUGGCGGCAGGCCUAACACAUGCAAGUCGAACGGUAACAGGAAACAGCUUGCUGUUUCGCUGACGAGUGGCGGACGGGUGAGUAAUGUCUGGGAAACUGCCUGAUGGAGGGGGAUAACUACUGGAAACGGUAGCUAAUACCGCAUAACGUCGCAAGACCAAAGAGGGGGACCUUCGGGCCUCUUGCCAUCGGAUGUGCCCAGAUGGGAUUAGCUAGUAGGUGGGGUAACGGCUCACCUAGGCGACGAUCCCUAGCUGGUCUGAGAGGAUGACCAGCCACACUGGAACUGAG
rnacentral:rRNA from 1 species